AGCGAACGCUGGCGGCAGGCCUAACACAUGCAAGUCGAACGAACUCUUCGGAGUUAGUGGCGGACGGGUGAGUAACACGUGGGAACGUGCCUUUUGGUUCGGAAUAACUCAGGGAAACUUGUGCUAAUACCGAAUGUGCCCUUCGGGGGAAAGAUUUAUCGCCAUUAGAGCGGCCCGCGUCUGAUUAGCUUGUUGGUGAGGUAAUGGCUCACCAAGGCUACGAUCAGUAGCUGGUCUGAGAGGAUGAUCAGCCACAUUGGGACUGAGACACGGCCCAAACUCCUACGGGAGGCAGCAGUGGGGAAUCUUGCGCAAUGGGCGAAAGCCUGACGCAGCCAUGCCGCGUGAAUGAUGAAGGUCUUAGGAUUGUAAAAUUCUUUCACCGGGGACGAUAAUGACGGUACCCGGAGAAGAAGCCCCGGCUAACUUCGUGCCAGCCGCCGCGGUAACAC
rnacentral:rRNA from 1 species